rnacentral:lncRNA from 1 species
UGAAUGGCAUAUAGCUAUAGGCUUGUCAUUUAAUUUGUUUUUUCUUUUCUAGUUUUCCACGAAAAAAAAUGAUGGGUUAUUUCCAAAUUUUUUUUCUUUCACUGAAAAUAAUCUCAAAAAAAAAAGAUACUGAAAGCAAUAGAAAUAAAAAAGAACACCUAUUGAACAGGAGGAAGUGCGGCUCUUCUUAGUUUUUCUCUUGACAUUUUCCCUUGAUAUCCUCUUUCACUUCUUGUUCUUCAAUGGAAAGAAAGUACUGAUUUUUCUUCUUCUUAUUCAGAAGGAUCUGAUUUCUUUUUCCUUCUACUGAUUUCUUAUUCAAUGGGAAGUUUCAGUCUUCUCUUUCACCUCCUCUUCCUCCGGUUUCUUGCCAUCUAGGGUUUCCGUCGCCAUAGAAAUCACCAGUAAAAUUAAAAGGAAACUAUACAUUCCCUUGAAAGCCUAAAAUUAAAAGAAACCCUAACAGAUUGAGAGAAAAG